AUGGCUCAGAUUGAACGCUGGCGGCAGGCCUAACACAUGCAAGUCGAGCGGAUGACGGGAGCUUGCUCCUUGAUUCAGCGGCGGACGGGUGA
rnacentral:rRNA from 1 species